rnacentral:rRNA from 1 species
CGGGUCGUAAAGCUCUGUCAAGUGGGAAGAAUAGCUUGGGGACGAAUAAUCCUCAGGUCCGACGGUACCACUGAAGGAAGCACCGGCUAACUCCGUGC